CCCCGCCCAUUUAGCGUACUGCCCUGAUGACUUACGCAGCCCAGCUACGCCGAAAGCGCUACGCCGGUCUACGAGUCUUAUGAAGAAAUGUGCAAAGAAGAGAUAAAAGCAGAUGGUCUGACAUCUUCCACAGAGGUGUAGUAGGUCAGGCUGGGGUCACAGUUUGAAGGAACCUCCUCCUUCUUUCACCUGUGCCAGACGCCCUGCUCAUCCACUGGUAGAAAUGACCUUACACCAGCAGCUCUCCCAGAUGAAGAGUCCUCUCUGCCAUCACCCAGAGGAGCUGAUCGACAUCUGCACAACUGAAGGUGGACAGAGUCUGGAGCUUUGUGACAGUGAACAGUGAGAAGGCUACCAUAGUCAUCCUCAGAUAAAACACAGAGAUCCUGGUCAAUAUUUAAUGGUGCUGUUUUUCUUUCCAUGAUGUUGCCCUGUGUUUAAAAGGCCAGAUGCUGGAGGGUUGUGUUGGAUUUGCUUUUCCAUCAAAUUUUAACAGU